GAGAGCACGAGCUGAGGACGUUCUGAGGAGAAAAUCCAUACGGCCAUACUGAGGGCUGGAGUGCGCUGACCUCAGGGAAUUAAUCAACCGCGGAAGCCGCACAGUCUCUUCAAGCUGUGUAUAAUAAAAAACAGUGGCAGGACAUCAUUUACAUUUCUGAAGUGAAAAGAGAAAUCAUGCUGUAAACCACAGGCUUGAGCACCAGCAUGUUUACCCUUUUAUUAGAGUUUGACUCUCUGAGGCUAAAACACAUGCAAGUGUGCAGACAUGCAGAUGGGCGUGGUAUCUGUUCUUCAUGUCAGACUGUAGAAAAACCCAUAAAAAUGUUGCAUCUUCUUCAUCAUGUGUGUAUGUAUGUGUGUGUGUCUGCCCUGUGUUGGACUGGCGACCUCUCUGGGGUGUUUUCUGCCUUUUGUCCAAUAAAUUGUGACCC